CACAUAUUGUAUAUAACACACGUACAGUGGGGUUAUGGGUUCCGAGCCACGGUGGUUGUGGUCUAUAGACACCGAUCUGUGGCAAAUGGGCUUGGUCAUGUAAUGGGUCAUAAAAAGAAACAAACCCGAUGAGCCGAAGCCAUAAUGUCCAAGUCACAUUUCAUAUUCAUUUAUUUUAAUUAAGUGUAAUUUUAUAUUUA